GUCUUCGUGGUGUAGUGGUCAGCACUCUCGGCGCGAAUUCGAGAGGUCCGUGGUUCGAUUCCCGCGAGGACA
rnacentral:tRNA from 1 species